UACGAAGGGGGCUAGCGUUGUUCGGAAUCACUGGGCUUAAAGGGCGCGUAGGCGGGCUGCCAAGUUCGGGGUGAAAUCCUCCCGCUCAACGGGAGAACUGCCCCGAAUACUGGCGGUCUCGAGGGAGGUAGGGGCGUGCGGAACUAUGGGUGGAGCGGUGAAAUGCGUUGAUAUCCAUAGGAACUCCGGUGGCGAAGGCGGCACGCUGGACCUCUUCUGACGCUGAGGCGCGAAAGCCAGGGGAGCGAACGGG
rnacentral:rRNA from 1 species